AAAAUGUCACUGAUGGAGAAUGCACCACAGUCCUGGGUAAACUGAUCCAGUGGUUAGUUACCCUCCCUGCUAAAAAUGUGCACUUAUUUC